rnacentral:rRNA from 1 species
GGGUUGUGAGGUUAAGCGACUAAGCGUACACGGUGGAUGCCCUGGCAGUCAGAGGCGAUGAAGGACGUGCUAAUCUGCGAUAAGCGUCGGUGAGGUGAUAUGAACCGUUAUAACCGGCGAUUUCCGAAUGGGGAAACCCAGUGUGUUUCGACACACUAUCAUUAACUGAAUCCAUAGGUUAAUGAGGCGAACCGGGGGAACUGAAACAUCUAAGUACCCCGAGGAAAAGAAAUCAACCGAGAUUCCCCCAGUAGCGGCGAGCGAACGGGGAGCAGCCCAGAGCCUGAAUCAGUGUGUGUGUUAGUGGAAGCGUCUGGAAAGGCGCGCGAUACAGGGUGACAGCCCCGUACACAAAAAUGCACAUGCUGUGAGCUCGAUGAGUAGGGCGGGACACGUGGUA